rnacentral:rRNA from 1 species
UACGUAGGGUGCGAGCGUUAAUCGGAAUUACUGGGCGUAAAGCGUGCGCAGGCGGUUUGUUGUGUCGGUGGUGAAAGCCCCGGGCUCAACCUGGGAAUGGCCAUGGAAACUGGCGAACUGGAGUGUGGCAGAGGGGGGUGGAAUUCCGCGUGUAGCAGUGAAAUGCGUAGAGAUGCGGAGGAACGCCGAUGGCGAAGGCAGCCCCCUGGGCUAGCACUGACGCUCAGGCACGAAAGCGUGGGGAGCAAACAGG